CGUGGGUCCAGAGAGAAUCGG
rnacentral:misc_RNA from 1 species